rnacentral:rRNA from 1 species
UACGAAGGGAGCUAGCGUUGUUCGGAAUUACUGGGCGUAAAGCGCACGUAGGCGGGCUCUUAAGUCAGGGGUGAAAUCCCGAGGCUCAACCUCGGAACUGCCUUUGAUACUGGGAGCCUCGAGGUCGGGAGAGGUGAGUGGAAUUCCUAGUGUAGAGGUGAAAUUCGUAGAUAUUAGGAAGAACACCAGUGGCGAAGGCGGCUCACUGGCCCGAAUCUGACGCUGAGGUGCGAAAGCGUGGGGAGCAAACAGG